AUCUUGUUAGGCUUAAUUAUUAUGCUUAUGGUCAAUUAGAACUUAAAUGUUAAAUGAAACAAAAACAUGGAUUUUGUUUCAUUAAGAUGCUCACACAUUAUUUACAAGUGGUCAUCACCGCCAGAAAAUAAUUGCCAAGCCAUGUGAUUGAAACAAAUUUAUGUAACUCUAAGCUUUAGUCAGAGUAAUCAUGCAAUCAACUGAUGCAUUACAGACUAUGAUGAUAGUUGGAUGUGUAAUACAAGCAUAUGAUCUCAUGUUAGAUAUGUGACUGUUAGAUAUGUGCCCUAGAAGCCAAUUGUUGGCUGAGACAUUAUGUAAUUUCAGGAUCUAUUCAUAUACUGAUAAAAUUUUAUUAUUAAUAAAAUAAUAUUUUUAUUUUCAAUCAUAUUUAUAUGUCCAUGAUUUAUCUUAAAAAUUAAUAAAGAUAAUUUUGUAUA
rnacentral:lncRNA from 1 species